GACAGAGGGUGCAAACGUUGUUCGGAAUUACUGGGCGUAAAGCGCGUGUAGGCCGCUUCGCAAGUCGGAUGUGAAAGCCCUGGGCUCAACCCAGGAAGUGCAUUCGAAACUGCAGAGCUGGAGUCCUGGAGAGGAAGGCGGAAUUCUCGGUGUAGAGGUGAAAUUCGUAGAUAUCGAGAGGAACACCGGUGGCGAAGGCGGCCUUCUGGACAGUGACUGACGCUGAGACGCGAAAGCGUGGGGAGCAAACAGG
rnacentral:rRNA from 1 species